rnacentral:rRNA from 1 species
GAGGUGGCAGCGCGAGAGUAGCAAUACUUUUGGCGGCGACCGGCGCACUGGUGAGUAACACGUAUGCGACCUGCCCCGUGCUGGGGGAUAACCCCGGGAAACUGGGCCUAAUACCCCAUGAGCCACGGAAUCGCAUGGUUUUGUGGUAAAAGGAUUUCCGGCGCGGGAUGGGCAUGCGGCGCAUUAGCUAGUUGGUGAGGUAACGGCUCACCAAGGCGACGAUGCGUAGGGGUUCUGAGAGGAAGGUCCCCCACACUGGUACUGAGACACGGACCAGACUCCUACGGGAGGCAGCAGUGAGGAAUAUUGGUCAAUGGACGGUAGUCUGAACCAGCCAAGUCGCGCGCGGGAUGAAGGCCCUUUGGGUCGUAAACCGCUUUGGUCGGGGAGCAACGUGCGGGACGUGUCCUGCAGUGAGCGUACCCGAAGAACAAGCAUCGGCUAACUCCGUGCCAGCAGCCGCGGUAAUACGGAGGAUGCGAGCGUUAUCCGGAUUCAUUGGGUUUAAAGGGUGCGCAGGCGGCACAUCAAGUCAGCGGUCAAACUGCGGCGCUCAACGCCGUAUCGCCGUUGAACUGAUGAGCUUGAGUGCGUGCGAGGGAGGCGGAAUGCGCAGUGUAGCGGUGAAUGCAUAGAUCUUUGCGCAGAACUCCGAUUUGCGGAAGGCAGCUUCCCAGCGCGCCACUGACGCUCAUGCACGAAAGCGUGGGUAUCGAACAGGAUUAGAUACCCUGGUAGUCCACGCGGUAAACGAUGAUCACUGGCUGUGCGGUUUAAUUGCGAAUUGCGCGGCUGAGCGAAAGCGUUAAGUGAUCCACCUGGGGAGUACGCCGGCAACGGUGAAACUCAAAGGAAUUGACGGGGGCCCGCACAAGCGGAGGAACAUGUGGUUUAAUUCGAUGAUACGCGAGGACCUUACCCGGGCUCGAACUUCCCAUGACGAGCUGAAAGGCGUCACUCUCUUCGGAGCGU